UACGUAGGGGGCUAGCGUUGUCCGGAUUUAUUGGGCGUAAAGAGCGUGUAGGCGGCCAGGUAGGUCUGCUGUGAAAACUCGAGGCUCAACCUCGAGAGGUCGGUGGAAACCGUGUGGCUAGAGUCCGGAAGAGGAGAGUGGAAUUCCCGGUGUAGCGGUGAAAUGCGCAGAUAUCGGGAAGAACACCCGUGGCGAAGGCGGCUCUCUGGGACGGUACUGACGCUGAGACGCGAAAAGCGUGGGGAGCGAACAGG
rnacentral:rRNA from 1 species